GCGGCGGACGGGUGAGUAACACGUGGGCAACCUGCCCUGCAGACUGGGAUAACUUCGGGAAACCGGAGCUAAUACCGGAUAACACCGAAAACCGCAUGGUUUUUGGUUGAAAGGCGGCUUUUAGCUGUCACUGCAGGAUGGGCCCGCGGCGCAUUAGCUAGUUGGUGAGGUAACGGCUCACCAAGGCGACGAUGCGUAGCCGACCUGAGAGGGUGACCGGCCACACUGGGACUGAGACACGGCCCAGACUCCUACGGGAGGCAGCAGUAGGGAAUCUUCCGCAAUGGACGAAAGUCUGACGGAGCAACGCCGCGUGAGCGAAGAAGGUCUUCGGAUCGUAAAGCUCUGUUGUCAGGGAAGAACAAGUGCCGUUCGAACAGGGCGGUACCUUGACGGUACCUGACGAGGAAGCCCCGGCUAACUACCUGCCAGCAGCCCCGGUAAUAC
rnacentral:rRNA from 1 species